rnacentral:piRNA from 1 species
UAAUUGAUGCCUUUAAUACUUACUGUUUAC